rnacentral:rRNA from 1 species
AGUGGCGAACGGGUGAGUAACACGUGAGUCACCUGCCCUGAAGUGGGGGACAGCCCGGGGAAACUCGGAUUAAUACCGCAUGUGAUCGCAAGAUCAAAGGUGGCGCAAGCUGCCGCUUCAGGAUGGGCUCGCGGCCUAUCAGUUAGUUGGUGAGGUAACGGCUCACCAAGGCGAUGACGGGUAACUGGUCUGAGAGGAUGAUCAGUCACACUGGAACUGAGACACGGUCCAGACACCUACGGGUGGCAGCAGUCGAGAAUCAUUCACAAUGGGGGCAACCCUGAUGGUGCGACGCCGCGUGGAGGACGAAGGCCCUAGGGUCGUAAACUCCUGUCAUCAAGGAGUAAGGGCUUCACCAGUAACUGGGUGGGGCAUUGAUAGUACUUGAAGAGGAAGGGACGGCUAACUUCGUGCCAGCAGCCGCGGUAAUACGAAGGUCCCGAGCGUUGUUCGGAUUUACUGGGCGUAAAGAGUCUGUAGGCGGUUGGGUAAGUCAGAUGUGAAAUCCCGGGGCUCAACUCCGGAACUGCAUCCGAUACUGCCUGACUAGAGUGUUGGAGGGGAAUCUGGAAUUCUCGGUGUAGCAGUGAAAUGCGUAGAUAUCGAGAGGAACACUAGUGGCGAAGGCGAGAUUCUGGACAACUACUGACGCUGAGAGACGAAGGCCAGGGUAGCGAAAAGGAUUAGAUACCCUUGUAGUCCUGGCAGUAAACGUUGCACGCUUGGUGUGGGGGGAUUCGACCCCCUCCGUGCCGGAGCUAACGCGUUAAGCGUGCCGCCUGGGGAGUACGGUCGCAAGAUUAAAACUCAAAGAAAUUGACGGGGACCCGCACAAGCGGUGGAGCAUGUGGCUUAAUUCGAUGCAACGCGAAGAACCUUACCUGGGCUUGACAUGUUAGUCGUAGAUUUGUGAAAGCUUAUCGUCACUUCGGGUGGACUAUCACAGGUGCUGCAUGGCUGUCGUCAGCUCGUGUCGUGAGAUGUUUGGUUAAG